rnacentral:rRNA from 1 species
UACAGGGGGUGCAACCGUUGCUCGGAAUCAUUGGGCGUAAAGCGCACGUAGGCGGUUCGUUAUGUCGGAUGUGAAAGCCCUUGGCUUAACCGAGGAAGUGCAUCCGAAACUGGCGAGCUAGAGUACGAAAGAGGAUCGCGGAAUUCCCGGUGUAGAGGUGAAAUUCGUAGAUAUCGGGAGGGACACCGGUGGCGAAGGCGGCGAUCUGGGUCGAUACUGACGCUGAGGUGCGAAAGCGUGGGGAGCAAACAGG